UCCUUGGGCCUCAAGGGCACCAGGGCCUGACCCCAGCUCCCAGCAUGAAUAGGGUUGGUUUAAACCAGUCGGCAUGGCCCACAGUGACUGGUUUAGGCAUGGGCCUGUCACCCACACUGGGCCAAUGAUAUGUAAGAUGUUUAUUGUAGCUUCCGGGAUGGAAACUUCUCUGCCAGCUUGUGGGUUGGGCAAGGACGACACUCCGGGCCCUACCGGCGGAAGCUCUGCUCCUGUCGUGCGUGGACCACGCAGCAAAUGGCCUUGGAGGCUGCUGGCAGCCAUCUUGUGACCAUGAGGCAAGUCAGCGCAGGCCGAAGCUGACGACGCGAAGACAAUGAGGAGAGGGAGAAAGAGCCGAUCUUUGAGUAAAGGAGGCUGGGCGUGGUGGCUCACGCCUGUAAUCCCAGCACUUUGGGAGGCCGAGGCAGGCGGAUCACCUGAGCUCAGGAGUUCAAGACCAGCCUGGCCAACAUGGUGAAACCCCGUCUCUAGUAAAAAUACAAAAAUUAGCCCGGCAUCAUGGAGUGUGCCUGUAGUCCCAGCUACUCAGGAGGCUGACGCGGGACCCUCGCCUGAACCUGGGAGGUAGAGGUUGCGGUGAGCCAAGAUCGCACCAUUGCAUUCCAGCCUGGGCACGAAGCGAGACUCCGUCAAAAAAAAAAAAAAAAAUUAAAGAAUAAAAUUUCUGCAGGCAUCUCAACAGCUACAGAAACAGCAUUUUGUGCAAUUCAAUACUGAUUUGCAGGGGCCAGGGGUCAUGGCUCAUGCCUGCAAUCCCAGCACUUUGGGAGACCAAGGCAGGUGGAUCCCUUGGGCUCAAGAGUUCAAGAUCAGCCUGGGCAAUGUAGCAAAACCCCAUCUAAAAAAAUAAGAAAAUAUUAGGCAAGCAUGGUGCAUAUGUGCACAGGGCGCACACCUGUGGUCCCAGCUACUGGGGGUCUGAGGUGGGAGGAUUGCUUGAGCCCAGGAGGUUGAGGCUACAGUGAGCCGUGAUGGUGGCCCUGGACUCCAGCCUGGGCAACAGAGUGCAACCCCGUCUCAAAAAAGAAAAAUACUCAUUUGCAACUUUUAUUUUUUUAAUUAAAAAAAAAUUUAAUUUAUUUAUAUUUUUGGGGACAGAGUCUCGCUAUGUCACCCAGGCUGCAGUGCGAUGGCAUGAUCUCAGCUCACUGCAACCUCCACCUUCUGAGUUCAAGUGAUUCUCCUGCCUCAGCCUCCUGAAUAGCUGGAAUUACAGGUGACCGCCACCAUGCCUGGCUAAUUUUUGUAUUUUUAGUAGAGACGGGGAUUCACCAUGUUGGCCAGGCUGGUCUCGAACUCCUGACCUCGUGAUCCACCCAUCUCAACCUCCCAAAGUGCUGGGGUUACAGGAGUGAGCCACCGUGCCUGGCCUCAUUUGCAAUUUUUAAAAAUUGCUUUGCAAUGCCGGGCGCGGUGGCUUACGCCUGUAAUCUCAGCACUUUGGGAGGCCGAGGUGGGCACAUCAUGAGGUCAGAUCGAGACGAUCCCGGCUAACACGGUGAAACCCCAUCUCUACUAAAAAUACAAAAAAAAAAAUAGCUGGGCAUGGCGGCGUGUGCCUAUUAUCCCAGCUGCUGGGGAGGCUGAAGCAGGAGAAUGGCGUGAACCCGGGAGGCGGAGCUUGCAGUAAGCUGAGAUCGCGCCACCGCACCCCAGCCUGGGUGACAGAGCAAGACUCCAUCUCAAAAAAAAAAAAAAUUGCUUUGCAACCUAGUAGUAGAAGAACAAUUCCUUGAUCUGAUAAAGAGCAUUCCCUUAACAAGAUAUAGCAAAAUUUAAAACCCGUGAAUUAUAGAAAAGAUACACAUUUGAUUAUAUAAUAUUUUUAAAAAUAUGCAUGGCACAAGACUCUAUAAACAAAUAUACACAAUGGAAGCCAUGGUGGGAGGUAUCGGCCAGGGCCACGUCUGAGUCCUUGGCAGAGCUGGGUCACGCAGUGAAGAGCUGGGAGGGGCCUGGACAGGGCAGCAGUGGGUCAGGUUUGGGCUUAAAGAAGACGUCCCAGCUGGUGGUUCUUCAAACAAUUAAACAUACAGUGGCCGUGCAACCCAGCAAUGCCACUCCUAGGUGAGGACCCAAGAUAAAUGAAGACGUCCGGCCAGGCGCAUUGGCUCACACCUGUAAUCCCAGCACUUUGGGAGCCUUAGACAGAUGGAUCACUUUCAGCUCAGGAAUUAAAGACCAGCCUGGGCAACACAGGGAGACCCUGUCUCGUUAAAAAAUACAAAAAUUGCCAGGCGUGGUGGCUCAUGCCUGUAAUCCCAGCACUUUGGGAGGCCGAGGCAGGCGGAUCACCUGAGGUCAGUAGUUUGAGACCAGCCUGAUGAACAUGGUGAAACCCCGUCUCUACUAGAAAUAGAAAAAUUAGCUGGACGUGGUGACUAACACCUGUAAUCCCAGCUACUCAGGAGGCUGAGGCAGAAGCGCUUGAACCUGGGAAGCGGAGGUUGCAGUGAGCCGAGAUCACGCCAUUGCACUCCAGCCUGGGCAACAAGAUGAAACUCCAUCUCAAAAAAAAAAAAAAAAAUUAGCUGGGCAUCGUUGUCUUGUGCCUGCGGUGCCAGCUAUUCUGGAGGCUGAGAUUGGAGAAUCAUUUGUGCCCAGUGAAGCAGAGGUGGCAGUGAGCCAAGAUCAUGCCACUGCGCUCCAGCUUGGGUGACAGAGUGAGACUCUGUCUCAAAAAAAAAAAGAGUCUACAUAAAACAUUGUGCGCGCCUGUGCAUAGCAGCACAUCCAUAAUCACAGAGAGGCGGAAACAGCUGUGUCCAUCAACAGAGGUUGGUCACACAGGGGGUCCUGUGCCCAAUGCAGUGGACUCUUGGGCCUUAGAAUGAAGUUCUGAUCCACACGGCAGCACCGACGGACCUUGGGCACUGUGCUGUGUGAAAUAAGCAGACAGAUGCUGUGUGGCAGCACUUACAGGGGCAUCCUGAGCGACUUUGUGGAGACAGCUCUUAGGGCUGGGGAGGGAGGGAUGCGGGAAGGGGGCGGGAGCUGGAGGGUGGAGGGCUCUUUCUGAGAUGAGGAAAUGAUCUAAAACUGCCUGCGGUGACGGCUGCACAGCUCUGAAGAUGCAGAAACUCGCUGAGCUGGACGCAUUCUGAAUUGUGUGGUAUGUGAAUUAUGUCUCAGUAAAGCCAUUAAAAAAAAACACCCAGGAGCCAGGCGCAGUGGCUCAUGCCUAUAAUCCCAGCACUUUGGGAGGCGGAGGCAGGCGGAUCAUCUGAGGUCAGGAGUUGGAGACCAGCCUGACCAACAUGGUGUAACCUCGUCUCUGCUAAAAUACAAAAAUUAGCUGGGUGUUGUGGCGGGCACCUUUAAUCCUGGCUACUUGGGAGGCUGAGGCAGGAGAAUUGCUUGAACCUGGGAACGGGAGGUUGCAGUGAGCCAAGAUCGCGCCAUUGCACUCCAGCCUGGGCGACAGAGCGAGACUCCGUCUCAAAAAAACAAAACAAAACAAAACAGCCAGGCAACCAAGUAGACAAUGGAGGGAGGGGGUGACAGCUGAGGACGCCCAUUGUCUGCUGGUGCUCCAGGCGGUGCUCCCCACUCCCAGCCCAGUCGCCCCCUGCUCCUGGCCUGGAUUUGAGGCCUAGAGAGACACCUGCCCUCCCCCGGAUCCGUGCCCCGCAGAAGUGCAGUCUUGGUGCCCAAAUGUGCGCCCGCUGGGGCAGAGGAGAAUCCGCGGGGCCUGAAGCAGAAUCGCGCCCUCCCCCCAACCUGCCGGCUGCCCGGGCGCUCCCCAUGGGCCCAGACGCAGGAGACAAAGGAGAACAUGGGGGUUCAGGUAUGCACUGGGGCGCAGACAGGGCCAGGCAAGACAAGAGGGCAGGGCUGCCGGGAAGGACGAGUGCCUCGGGAGCCUCUCUGCAGGUGAGACACAGGUUGAAGCAUUGACUGAUUUGUUCUCUCGCAGUGAGGCAGGAGAGGAGGGAAUAAUUGGGGUGACCCAGGGUUGAGGCGUGAGCAAGAGAACAGCAAAGGCAGCUGGUUCUGGGUAACACUGGGCCUCACUCCUAUGGUAACAAGACAGUUUCCACUUCAGCCUCUGAUUGGCUGUGAGCCAGUCCUUCAUAAGGAGUCACCAGUUGGAGGCCUCUAAAGGGCACCUGGGGUGUUACCAAAUUCUCCUGGCUUCCUAAAAACCCUGGGGAGCACUGCCAUAGAGGCUCUGGGGCCGCCUGCUCCGCCCGCUGCCUCUCUGUGAAUUGCACCUUGUGGUCUUCAAUGAAUCUGUGCUUUCGUCACUCCGUUUUUUGCUUGUCUUGUCUUUCGUUACUUCAUUCUUUUGUUGCUUUCUUUGUGCGUGUUCAAUUCUUUGUUCUGCACACAAGAACCUAAACAACUCACAGUCGAGACCUUCCAACCAGUAACACCAGCGGCCCCUCCCCUGGGAAGCCUCCAGAGGACGGGAGGCUGCCUGUAAAAGCUGAAGAGUCCUGAGUCUUCUGCGUGAUUCCAGAGACUCCUGGGAUGCCCUGGGGUGGGGGGCAGGGGAACGCUGGGGCACGGGUGGACCCAGGAAAGAGACGUGUAGAGCGCCUUGCCCCACCACCCUCCUCCCAGGCCAUGUCAUCUGCCACCCAGGCCAGGGCUACACCUCACCUGCCACUCAGGCCAUACCAUACCCUCACCUGUUGCCCAGGCCACACCCACAUCCUCACCUGUUGCCCCUCCUCCUUGCGGCCCAGGAGGUCUCUGAAGAUGCAGGCUCUACCUUCUGCCCGGCCCCCAGCCCUCCACCCGAGAAGUGGAUGUGAAGUCACUCUGUGCAUCUCCGCCCCUUUCCCACCCAUUGGCCCUUGCCCUGCUCAGGGUCCCACGCUCUUCCCUCCUCCUGCCCCUCGUGGCCCCUCCUGUCUGCCCUGGCCCCCCCACACAUCCAGGGGGCAGUUUGCUUCCUCCACUGACCUCCCCUCUCUGUGACAUUAUCUGUUUUUACAAACUUCAGGCAUCUAAGCCGGGCACAUUGGCCCAAGCCUGUAAUCCCAGCACUUUGGGAGGCCGAGGCAGGCGGAUCACUUAAGCUCAGGAGUUCGAAACCAGCCUGGCCAAGAUGGUGAAACCCCAUCUCUACUAAAAAUACAAAAGAUUAGCCGGCUGUGAUGACGCGCACCUGUAAUCUCAGCUACUCGGGAGGCUGAGGCACGAGAAUCGCUUGCACCCAGGAGGUGGAGGCUGCAGUGAGCCGAGAUCACGCCAGGGCACUCCGGCCUGGGCGACAGAGUGAGACUUCGUCUCAAGAAAAACCAAAAAUCCAAAAGAACUACAGGCAUCGGCUGUGUCCCCACUAGGAAGCCGGAGGGGAGCAGGGCUGGGUGUGUCUUCUCUGGCUGCGUCCCUGCGGCCACAAGGCCUGUUCUUCCUCUGUGCCCCGCCUGCCAAGGACCCAGCCUUGUGAAGGAUGGAUGAAUGAAUCAUUGAGCAAAUGAAUGAGUGUGUGAACAGGGAGAGUCUGCAGCAGGGAGACCCCGGCAGCUUCGAGUAUGGAGGGGAGACUCUGGCCGCCUGAGAGCUGGCUGCCAGGUGCUGAGCCGCCCCAAGAAAAAGCCCUCGUGGCAAGAAACUGAGGCCUCCAGCCAGCAGUCAGGGACCCGAGGCCUGAGACGGUGGAGGGUGAGCUUGCAAAGGGACCCCACAGUCGGGCCUUGAGAGGCCCACGGGCCUGGCCCACACCUCGGCUGCAGCCUUGUGAAGGUCCCUGAGCAGGGGACCCAGACUUCUGUCCUACAGAAACUUGGAGAUAAUAAAUGCCUGCUCUUCUACGGCACUGAGUGUCGGGUGAUUUGUUACGGGCAGUAGACAGCUAAUACCUGCCCCUUAGGACACCAAGUCCUCGCCUCCUGGAGGCCCAAGCCCCAGGGAGCCAUGCCUGACUUGCCGCCUGUCGAUGGGCCACGCGUUCCUUGUUGAUGCCAUUCUGGGGUCCCCUCACCCUGACAUACUAGGAGCCAGUUCCGAGGGAGGCUCUUCUGCCACCAACCCUGGCCCAGGGGGACACUGAGCUCCUUGAUGCUGAGGGCCGGUGGUUCCUUAUCGCCUGGCGACCAGCGUGUCCUCCGGGUCCUUUUCCAAUACCAGCACCUCCCAGCUCAAAAACACAACCCAGCACUCCUGUUCCUCCGUCUCCCGGCCCUCCCUCGACACUGGGCCGAGGCAGCCUGUGCACCUGCCCCAAGCUCCCAGGAGCUGACCCAGCAGCGGAUUCGGCCUGGUUCCCGGCAUCCUUACCGGGAUUUGGAAAAUGCUCCUUUCAAUCAAUAAAGGCCCCACGCGGGCCUUCUUCCGCCCUCCCCUCCAGCAUCCUCCAUCUCCAUUUCCACCCGUCCUCCCCGUCCUGCCAGGCCGCAGCUCCUUGCAGAAUAACCCACACCCUCCAGUCGCAGGGACAGAACACCCUAGUUACUGGCCUAGAAUUUUGCGGGGGACGAGGACAGGCAGACCCUAAGGAGGACACUCGCCUCAGGUGAGACCUUUGCAAGGUCCCGGCAGUGGGAGCCACUCCCGCCACUGCGGAGGGAACAGAGGGCAGGGAUCUAAGAGGCUUCUACCCAAAUACCGCAUCCAGGUCAUAGCGUCCCACCCCCCGCUGCCACCGGGGCCCUGACUUCAACACGGGAGGCAGACCAGACGCCACCGCCCUGGGAUCAGAGCUUGGGCCCGAGGGUUGGCCCCGUCUGCACUCUGGCUUUCGGAAUGAGGCUCGCUGUCAAUGCUGUGGUGGAGCUGCAUUCGUUUCCGGGGCUUCUAUAACAAGGUGCCAUAGAACAGGGCUCCAACAGCAGCCCAUUCUCCCACUGUCCUGGAGGCUGGAAGUUCGAGACCAAGGUGCCUGCAGAGUUGGUUCCUCCUGAGGCCUUUCUCCCUGGCUUGUAGAUGGCCCUCUUCUCCUGACUCCUCACACAGAGUCAUCCCUCUGUGUGUAUCUGUGUCCUAGUCUCUCUUCUUUUUCUUUUCGCUUCUUCUUUUUUUUUUUUUGAAGACAGGGUCUCUCUCUCUCUGUCACCCAGGCUGGAGUGCAGUGGUGUUAUCAUAGCUCACUGCAGCCUAGACCUCCCAGGCUCAGGUGAUGCUCCUACCUCAGCCUCCCAAGUAGCUGGGACCACAGACAUGUGUCACCACACCCGACUAAUUUUUUAUAUUUUGUUGUAGAGAUGGGGUCUCACUAUGUUGCCCAGGCUCAACUGGCUUUAAGCCAUCCUCCCACCUCGACCUUCCAAAGUGUUGGGAUUACAGGUGUGAGCCACUGAGCCUGGCCCUUAUCUCUUUUUCUCAGGACACGACUCAGGCCGGGCGUGGUGGCUCAUGCCUAUAAUCCCAGCACAUUGGGAGGCCAAGACGGGCGGAUCACCUGAGGUCAGGAGUUCCAGACCAGCCUGGUCAGCAUGGUGAAACCCCGUCUCUACUAAAAAUAUAAAAAUUAGCCAGGUGUGGUGGCCAGCGCCUGUAAUCCCAGCUACUCGGGAGGCUGAGGCAGGAGAAUCGCUUGAACCCAGGAGGCGGAGGUUGCAGUGAGCCAAGAUCGCACCAUUGCACUCUAGCCUGGGUGACAGAGUGGGACUCCGUCUCAAAAAAUAAAAAAAGUGGGGGAUGGGGGUGGGGGUGGGGGUGGGCCAGGCGCGGUGGCUCACGCCUGUAAUCCCAUCACUUUGGGAGGCCGAGACGGGUGGAUCACCUGAGGUCAGAAGUUCGAGACCAGCCUGACCAACAUGGGGAAACUUCAUCUCUACUAAAAAAUACAAAAAUUAGCCGGGUGUGGUGGUGGGUGCCUGUAAUCCCAGGUGCUCAGGAGGCGAAGCAGAAGAAUCACUUGAACCCAAGAGGUGGAGGUUGCAGUGAGCCAAGCUCGUGACACUGCACUCCAGACUGGGUGACAGAGCAAGACUUCAUUUCAAAGGAAAAAAAAAACAAGGCCAGCGGUCAUGUGGGAACAGGACUCGCUGUAAUCCCCUCUUUAAAGGCCAUAUCUGUAAAUACAG
rnacentral:lncRNA from 1 species